UACGGAGGGUGCAAACGUUGCUCGGAAUCAUUGGGCGUAAAGCGCACGUAGGCGGCCUGAUAAGUCGGAUGUGAAAGCCCUGGGCUCAACCCAGGAAGUGCACUCGAAACUGUCAGGCUUGAAUAUGGAAGAGGGUCGCGGAAUUCCCGGUGUAGAGGUGAAAUUCGUAGAUAUCGGGAGGAACACCAGUGGCGAAGGCGGCGACCUGGGCCAAUAUUGACGCUGAGGUGCGAAAGCGUGGGGAGCAAACAGG
rnacentral:rRNA from 1 species